CGCUUCUGGCCCCUUUCUCUGGAGGAGCUCCGCGCGUGGCGAGUCUGUGUCCUCCCUGUCCCCCAGAGCAGAGAACCCUCUCUGUGUCUGGACGGGGGAGGAGCAGACGCUGGACAGGUUUUUGGCAAAAUGCUGGCAAUUCCCAGGAAGAUAUGUGGAGAACGGAAAGGUUGCUACACCCAAAUAGUGGCGCAAAGGCUAUGAUUAUGGAGGAUUGGACCUGCAAACUCCAGAACAGAGCAACCUUGUAAAAUGUGUGUGGGCAGCACAGAGACCUUGGGCAAGUUAACAGUUUCCUCAUCUGUAAAUACUGAUUUAUGGAAAGCACCUGGUGUAUGUUCUGCCCUCUGAGGACCCUGCCCUUUCCCAAAAGGGGUAUCUUAAGAAGGAAAAUAUGGCUGCUCUUUGCCGGACAGCAGAGUCCCAGAACCCCAUGCAGGUGUUUCAGGGCUUUACGUCAUUCAAGGAUGUGGCUGUGAACUUCACUAGGAAGAAUGGAGAGUACUGGACCUUGCUCAGAGAGUCUUGUACAGGGAUGUAAUGCUGGAGAACUAUAGGAACCUGGUCUCCUUGGGAUUUCCAUUUUCCAAACCUGGUAUCAUCUCCUAGUUGGAAGAAGUGGUAGGCCCACGAACGCAAAUGCAGGAGGGAGAGGUGCCAAGAAGCAGCUGUACACGUAAGUGAGAACAAGGCGGAUUGCAUCUUUAGAAAUAAGAGUUAGGGGUUCUUCCGAAAUCCUCCGGGCCUGUAGAAAAUGUUGAAUCCCCCUGCAGUCUCAUCUUCACUUGACCACAUCAGAAUCCUAAUAGCUUGCCUCUUUAUUUCUUUCCAGACUGAAGGAAGAGAUACUUCCUCCUUAAAGUUAUAAGCCCAACACAUGAUCCAGAGAUCAGCUUUGUGCCUCAUCCUGAGGCAUUUUAUGAGGCUAUUCCCGUUUCCUCUUUAGUAGCUGGAAUCACUUCUUCAUUUACUCUGUCCUUAUC
rnacentral:lncRNA from 1 species